rnacentral:rRNA from 1 species
UACAGAGGGUGCGAGCGUUAAUCGGAAUUACUGGGCGUAAAGCGCACGUAGGCGGCUUGGUAUGUCGGGUGUGAAAUCCCCGGGCUCAACCUGGGAACUGCAUCCGAAACUGCCUUGCUCGAGUAUGGGAGAGGGAAGUGGAAUUUCCGGUGUAGCGGUGAAAUGCGUAGAUAUGCGGAGGAACACCGAUGGCGAAGGCAAUCCCCUGGGCCUGCACUGACGCUCAUGCACGAAAGCGUGGGGAGCAAACAGG